UACGUAGGGUGCGAGCGUUAAUCGGAAUUACUGGGCGUAAAGCGUGCGCAGGCGGUUUUGUAAGCCAGAUGUGAAAUCCCCGGGCUUAACCUGGGAAUGGCAUUUGGGGACUGCAAGGCUGGAGUGCGGCAGAGGAGACUGGAAUUCCUGGUGUAGCAGUGAAAUGCGUAGAUAUCAGGAGGAAUACCGAUGGCGAAGGCAGGUCUCUGGGCUGACACUGACGCUCAUGCACGAAAGCGUGGGGAGCAAACAGG
rnacentral:rRNA from 1 species